rnacentral:lncRNA from 1 species
AUGGUAAUUUAUAGGCGUAUUUUGCUUAUUUUUUUACUUGUUCACGUUAUUUUAAAUGUAUUUGCAAAUGGCAGUUCUAGAUUUUUUCAUAAAGAUGUUUUAGGUAAUAGCCAUUAUCACAAUGGUAAUGAUAACACAAUUGAUUCUAAUAAACGAGAUAUACAUAAGCAUGAACACACGUAUAUUAGACAUCCCUUUAGUUUUUUGAAACGUGAUGGGCAAUCUGAAAAUAUAAAAGAAAAAAACGAGCUUAAUACUACAAAAAAUGCUGAAACUCGAUUCGUAGAGAAUAAAAAAGAAGCAUAUAAUUUAUAUAAAUUGCAUUUAAAUGAAAAUAAUUUAAAAUGGACCAUUCCUGUUUUUAUGGGUUCCCAGCAAACUAAACUAAAUUUACUUGUAAACACGGCUACACCUACUACAGCAGUACAGUGUUCUUAUGAUUCAACAAACAACGUAUCAAAUGAUGUAGAAUCAUCAUAUAAUAUUGAAGGGUCAUCUGAUUUUAAUUAUGUUAAUUGUGAAGAUAAUUUUUGUGUUGAUUUGAAACACCAUGGGUCCUGUGAAUCAAUAAAAAAUAAUUUGAAGUUGUUGGAAAAAAAACAAGGAAAGCUUAGAAAAUAUAAUAAAUAUGGUAGCUCUAAGUUUAUAAAUAAUAAUAACAGUUUUUUAAAUAUGAACCCAUAUACCGGUAAUGAAACUGUUUGUUUGAUGAGCGAAAAUUUAAAUAAGAGAGAUAUGAAAGGAUUUUUUUUUGCUGAUUCGUUAUCUUUCAAUAAUGACAGUAAAACCAAAUGCAAUUACCCCUAUUUUGCAUGCAUAACUGAUAGUAAGAAUUUGCAUUUAGAUAAAGGAGUUUCGGGUUUUAUAGGUUUGGCACCAUUUUAUAAAAAUGAAACAAAUAAUAAUCAGUAUCCUGGAAUUACAAAUUAUUUUGUUAAUAGUGAUAUGACUUCGAGACCAGACACCUGGGCCAUACAUCUAAUCAAGAAUGGUGGAUAUAUUGUUUUCGGUGAAAAUGAAUCAGUUUAUUCUUAUGCAAAAAAUAACCUUCAAAUGAUAGAAGCAGGAGCUAAAACAAAAAAUAAUCAAAGCGAAUUUACACAAGAGGAAAAUUUUACAGAUGAUAAUAAAGCAUACAUAGAUUAUGAAUUAAAAAAAAAUGCUUAUGCCGUAAAUUUAAGUUCAAUAGAAGCAAAUAUGAAAAAUAAUUAUAUUUUUUUAAAUGUAAAGAGUACAGCGGUUCUUGAUACAUGUUAG